UAUUCUCUCUCAUUCCCUGAUGGUUAGAAAAGUGUUCCUGACGUGAGACAGUCGGAAAGGGCAGGUGUGAAGGGGAGAAGUCAAACAGUGAGGAAGAUUUGAGAAUCGGGAAAUGUCGAUGGGAGAUGGAGGAAGAGACAUCACCUAAGUUUGCACUUUAUCCCGUUGUGAUGCGGUUUGAACGGCAUCGUCUGGAUGAAAGAUCUGUUUCAGACCAGGAGAUUUUAUCAAAAUUAUACAUCAAUAUGGGCACACAUUACAUCAACAAGAUGUGACAACAAGAACGGGAGAGAGGGGAGAGAGAGAGAGCAAAAACAAAUGGAUGGCGGGCAUCACUGUAUCGUGGCUGACAAAAGUUUAUAGUUGGGUGCUUAAAUCCAAGGAUAAAUAUUGAAUCAAAUGGAUACACAGGUAGGUGAAAGUGUUGGGUCGAAGCUGCUGUCAUUAAAAAUGAAAAGUCCUGAGAAAGAGGUGAUGUCGGAUUAGACGAUGUGGAUGUUAAGAAACUGCGUAGGUAAAAUGACCCUGAUGGAAAUUAUAUACAGGCAUGGUAACAGUAGCCAGGAUAUGGGCUACAAAUUACAACGGGGGAGAGAAGAGCAUGGAAAAUGGUCAAUGCUAAAAUUUUCACAGGGAAUUUCAAUAUUCAGGUAGAUUUUGGAAAAUCAGGUCGGUGCUGAAUCCCAAGUGUGGAAAUUUAUAGAAUGCCUAUGAGAUGGCUUUUGAGAGAAGCCUAUGGUUGAGCCCACCACAGGAAAGGCAGAUCUGGAUUCUCUGUUGUGAAUUGAACCAGAUUUGAUCAGGGAGCUUCAGCUAAAUAAACCCUUCAGAGGCAGUGAUCAUAAAAUAGCAAAACUCAGCCAGCAGGUUGAAAGGGAGAAGGUGAAGUUAGAGGUAUCAGUGCUAUAGUAGAAUAAAGGAAAUACUUCGGCAUGAGAGAGGAGCUGGGCAAUAAUAAAUUUGAAAAUGACACUAAUGGGGACAAUGGCAGAGCAGGAAUGGCUGAGGUUUCUCGGAGCAAUUCAGAAGCUGCAGGACAAAUGAUCACAAAAAUGAAGAAUUAUUCUAAAGAGAGGAUGAUCAACCGUGGCUGACGAGGUAGUCAAAGCAGCACAAAAGCAAAGGUGAGGGCACAGAGUAUUACAAAAUAUAGCAGAAAGCUGGAGGACUGGGAUGGUUUUACAAAUCAACAGAAGGCAAUUCAAAAACUGUAAGUAGAGAAAAUAUGAAAUAGGAAGGCAGGCUAGAGAAUGAUGUAAAAUAGCUUACCAAAAUGUACGUCUGAUAUAUGAAGAUUGAAAGAGAGGAUAGUGGAUAUUUGACCACUGGAAAAAUUGGACCACUG